AGUGAACGCUGGCGGCAGGCCUAACACAUGCAAGUCGAACGGCAGCACAAGAGAGCUUGCUCUCUGGGUGGCGAGUGGCGGGCGUGUGAGGAAUGCAUCGGAAUCUGCCCAUUUGUGGGGGAUAACCUCGGGGAACCGGGACUAAUACCGCAUAUGACCUACGGGUGAAAGCAGAGGAUCUUCGGACCUUUCGCAGAUGGAUGAGCCGAUGCCGGAUUAGCUAGUUGGAGGGGUAAAGGCCCACCAAGCCGACGAUCCAUAGCUGGUCUGAGAGGAUGAUCAGCCACACUGGGACUGAGACACGGCCCAGACUCCUACGGGAGGCAGCAGUGGGGAAUAUUGGACAAUGGGCGCAAGCCUGAUCCAGCCAUGCCGCGUGUGUGAAGAAGGCCUUCGGGUUGUAAAGCACUUUUGUUGGGAAAGAAAAGCAGCCGGUUAAUACCCGGUUGUCAUGACGGUACCCAAAGAAUAAGCACCGGCUAACUUCGUG
rnacentral:rRNA from 1 species